UGGGGGAUAUUGCACAAUGGGCGAAAGCCUGAUGCAGCGACGCCGCGUGGGGGAUGAAGGCUUUCGGGUUGUAAACCUCUUUCGCUAUCGAACAAGGCCCGCUUAGGGUGGGUUGAGGGUAGGUGGAGAAGAAGCGCCGGCUAACUACGUGCCAGCAGCCGCGGUAAUACGUAGGGCGCGAGCGUUGUCCGGAAUUAUUGGGCGUAAAGGGCUUGUAGGCGGCUUGUUGCGCCUGCUGUGAAAACGCGGGGCUUAACUUCGCGCGUGCAGUGGGUACGGGCAGGCUUGAGUUUGGUAGGGGUGACUGGAAUUCCAGGUGUAGCGGUGGAAUGCGCAGAUAUCUGGGGGAACGCCGAUGGCGAAGGCAGGUCACUGGGCCAUUACUGACGCUGGGGAGCGAAAGCAUGGGUAGCGAACAGG
rnacentral:rRNA from 1 species